rnacentral:rRNA from 1 species
UACGUAGGGGGCAAGCGUUGUCCGGAUUUAUUGGGCGUAAAGAGCGUGUAGGCGGCCUGACAGGUCUGCUGUGAAAACUCGAGGCUCAACCUCGAGAUGUCGGCGGAAACCGUCUGGCUAGAGUCCGGAAGAGGAGAGUGGAAUUCCUGGUGUAGCGGUGAAAUGCGCAGAUAUCAGGAAGAACACCUAUGGCGAAGGCAGCUCUCUGGGACGGUACUAACGCUGAGACGCGAAAGCGUGGGGAGCGAACAGG